rnacentral:rRNA from 1 species
GAUGAACGCUGGCGGCGUGCCUAAUACAUGCAAGUCGAGCGAACAGACGAGGAGCUUGCUCCUCUGACGUUAGCGGCGGACGGGUGAGUAACACGUGGAUAACCUACCUAUAAGACUGGGAUAACUUCGGGAAACCGGAGCUAAUACCGGAUAAUAUAUUGAACCGCAUGGUUCAAUGGUGAAAGACGGUUUUGCUGUCACUUAUAGAUGGAUCCGCGCCGCAUUAGCUAGUUGGUAAGGUAACGGCUUACAAAGGCAACGAUGCGUAGCCGACCUGAGAGGGUGAUCGGCCACACUGGAACUGAGACACGGUCCAGACUCCUACGGGAGGCAGCAGUAGGGAAUCUUCCGCAAUGGGCGAAAGCCUGACGGAGCAACGCCGCGUGAGUGAUGAAGGUCUUCGGAUCGUAAAACUCUGUUAUUAGGGAAGAACAAAUGUGUAAGUAACUAUGCACGUCUUGACGGUACCUAAUCAGAAAGCCACGGCUAACUACGUG